CAGAAACAGUAGCAGCAUGAGAAGGCCACUGACAAUGGUCACUGCGGGGAAGGGAGCGAGGGUCAGAAUGGCCUCUGCUCCACUCUCUCUAAGCCCCCCCAUAGGCCAGGCAGGGUCCAGGCGCCCGGCCAAGCUCUUCGACACCCCUGUCCCCGCAACCCCGGCCCCGCUGCGGCCUACCCGUGGCGCCCCCGCAGGUCUUGACCCGGAAGUCCUCCAGAGUCUUGGGGUAGGCAUCGAACUGCUUGAGCUUCCCUAGCGCCUCCAUGGGGACCAGCCGGAAAGGGGACGCCAGCCGGCCCGCCCCUGCAGCCUCCUGCUUCCGGCCCGGAGCUUGAGCCACGCCCCCCUCUCUUUUCGCACGCAGGCGCAGCAACGCGCACGCUUGGCCCCACCCCUCGCCGGUGUUCUCACUCAGGUCCCACCCUCCCCUCCUGCGGUCGGGUGCUGAGAGCUGCCGAGUUUAAACGCAGUUGUCGGGGGUGAGAGCCACUCCCACCCUGUGGGCGGUCUUCCGUGGACCAGGUACCUGGAGGCGUGGUUGCCCCGCAGAAACAGUGGCCAAGGAGACCAAGACACUGACUAGUUAGAGACUUCACUCUUCAUAAUGUCAGGCUUUAUACUGAUGCUUCAACCUUCUCCGUCAAGUGGGAUCCUUCAACCUUUGGAGCAAGUGGGGCCUAUACUGGACUCAUUCACUGCACAUGGGGCUGCACUGGUCCCCUGCAGCUACAGCCUACAAACCCAGCCAGAGAAGAGGAAGUUUUCAGGCCCUUUCGUUAGUUCCUUCUGCCCUGUCACAGUCUUCUUUUACCUUAUAUCCAUACUGAUAAACUUUCCCUAAUUGUUAAAGAAAUAAAUAUAUUUGCAGAUGUUACAUGUUCUUCUUUCCCAGUGCAGAUGGACCAAUUAUCUCUUGGGAGAAAUACGGGGACCUUGGUGUAUCUGGAUUGAAAAUAAUAAUCACAGUGUAGAAAUCCCACUACUUACCCUGAGAAGGAAGAAUCAUAAUAUAGCUGUGUCAGUGGGUCUCAGAGUCCAAUUAGUAGAGGUUCUUACAGACUUUAAUAAUACUGAGGUCAGGGAAUGAACCCUAAGAUGAAUGCCAUUUAAAAUGAGACUUGGAAGAAACCAGACAGGUGAAGUACUGAGUGGGAGGGAGCAAUGUGUUCCAGGAAGAGGAAUUGCAAGUGCAAAGGUCCUGGGGUGAGAUAGAACUUGGAAAGUUCUAGAAACAAGAAAAAGCCAGAAUGGCUGAAAACUCUGAGAUGAGUGAGAAUUUUGGAUUUUAUUCUGUAUGGAUUUUAUUCUGAUACCAUUUUAAGGAUUUAAGCAGGAAACUAAUUUAAGAUCAUGUCAGUUGCUAGCUGAAGAAUGGGUGAGGGAUGGAUAGAACAGAAGCAGAUAUACCAGUUAGGAUGCUAUUGCAGGUUGUAGGAGGAAAACACAAGCUUUUCUUUAGAAAACAAAAAUAUAAUUAGAAAAUUAUCUUCCAUUUUAAUAAAGGAAUUGGGUUUUUUUUCCCUGUAAAAUACUUUUCUGGCUAGAUCGAUCUAUUAAGCUAAGACAGUGGUUCUUAAAGUGUGGUCCCUGGACCAGCAGCAUUGUCAUUACCUGAGAAUUUGUUAGAAAUGCAAAUUCUCAGGCACACCCCAGAAAAACCAAAUGAGAGACUGUGGGGAUGAGGCUCAGCAUUCUGUGUUUUUAUGAAGCUCUCCAGGUGAUUCUGAUGCAUACUCUUGUUUGAGAAGCACUGGGCUAAGAGUCCCAAGCAAAUAUUUUUUAUUUGCAUUCUGGUGCAACCCACAUAAGGAAGGCUCUUCUUUCAAUAUUUGUAAAACAUUAUUUAUAUAAUUACAUAAGUCACAAAACAAUAACCAGUGUGAAAGCUAAUUAUAAAGGUUCUAGUUCAGAGCACCUUGUUGGCACAGUUGGUUAAGUGUCCAACUCUUGAUUUCAGCUCAGGUCAUGAUCUCACGGUUCAUGAGAUCUGCACUGACAGAGCAAAACCUGCUUGGGAUCCUCCCUCUCCCUCUUUUACUGUCCCUCCCCCUCCCGUGUUCUCUGUCUCUCUAAAAAUAAAUCAAUAAACAUUUUUCAAAAAAUGCAAAAAGAAAGGUUAUAGUUUCAGUAAUAUGUAGACUUAAUCCUGGAAACCUUCCUGGUGAAAAACAUCUUGAAAUGCUAAAUAACAAUGAUCUCUUUGAACAUAUAGCUGACUCAUGAAAAAGUAAGGGAAAUUCCCAGGGGCUAAAAUUGAAAGAGUUAAAGAAAGCAGGGUCACCUGGAAAGCAGUUCCCUCUCAACUCCGUUCAUGUAUCCCAUAAAUAUUUUUUAAAUGAUUUUAAGUCCCCAUUCUCAUAGAUCUUAUGUUUAGUGUAGGUCGCUGGUGUAUUCCAGACAGGAUAGAGUGGCAGCUUUGCCCAGGUAGGCAACAAGAGGGAGGUCACAAUGUGUACGUUGUGAUGACAUCUAUGGAGUAACUGGUGGCAUGGAGAACCCCACUGAGAGUUAAGCCUUCCUCCUGUGGGGAGGAUACGGGACCCGCCAUAAGUUAUCUCUCUGUCCCUGCAUCUGCCAUCCUAGGGCCAGCCAGAGUCCUCUUUGGAGGACAUGAACUCAGCAAGUGGUUUUGGCAAAAUGUGGAAAAAGGUGUUCAAGGGGAUUCCCAGACUCUCAGUGAGCCAUUUCCAUUUCUACUGUGGGACUUGUACUUUGGUGGGGAACUCCAAGAUCCUGCGGGCCUCCGGCCUUGGCAACAAUAUCAACCAGUGGACCCUAGCCUUCGGAAUGAACCAGGGCCCUGUCCAGAGCAUUGAAAAGGUGGGGAACCAAACCAUAGGAUGCUUCAUCUAUCCUGGGAAUGCCAGCAGCCAGGGCUCUUGGAGACAGCUGCUGCUUCUGCUGCUGCUGCUGCUGAAGCUUUCUGGUCUGGUGUGGACUUCAGAUGCUCCAAGUGAGGAGGAUGCCUACUUUGGAUUUGGAUCAGAAAAGCAAAGAAAGGGGUGCAAUGACUGUUAAUCAGACCAAUGAUUACAAGGGGAUUUUGUCCAUACAGAGCAUGGAAGCAGAAAUGAAAGUCAGCUACAGUGUGUUGGGCAAGCUCACUGUCCACAUGUGACACCCUGCAGAGUUCAUGCAAGUCCUAGUCCUUUGGACCUCAACAAAGCAGCAGUUUGUUUCUGUUUCUGAGACCAAGAAUUCCAACUAACACAGAUAACAAGGAUCAAACAUCACACUUCUGCCAACAGCACUGGAGUCUGGAAGAUGAUGGAAUAUGCCAUCAGGCUCUGGAGCUACUUUUGCAACCUAGGAUCUUUUACACCCAGCCAAACUAUCAAUCAAGCCUAAGGACAUUGUGGUCUCCAUGGCUCCCAUAACAAAUUAGCACAAAAUAGGAUGAACCAGGCCCCUGUCCAAGGCUUUGAGAUGGAUGUGGGGAACAAAACCACCAUGUGCAUUAUGUACCCUGAGAUGGCUAGCACACAGGAUCCUGGCACCCCACUGCUGCUGCUUCCUCUGAAUUCAUCUGGUCUAAAGUGGUUUAUGGAAGUGCUGCGGGAACAGAGCUUCAGAAGCCCAGUAAACCCUGGGUUUUGGUGAUCAGCCUCAACUUUCUCCAGUAUGUCCAUCAUUGUUGGCUGGGGAAACACAGUUGGUUUCCAUCCUUGGGGUUCGUGGGUUUGUUGUAUGCCCUGCACACAUGUGACCAGGCACUGAUGCUAGGAGACCUAACCCCAUUCCAGCUGGCCAAGGAGGAACUUUUCAGCUGAUCCCCACAGCAAAGCCCUGAGACCCACCCAUGCCAGUCCUGUGCUAUGCAACGUGGAACUCGGGGAAUCUGAAGUCUUCACAAUAUGGAGUAUCCACUGAGGAGCACCACCUGUGCUCAGUGGGGGCAAGAGGGUGAGGGUGGUGAGCAGUGCCAGCCUGUGAGCCCCAAAGCCUUCCUGACUUCCUUUCCUAUCUCUGCAGAAUGAACCAGGCCCCAGUUUUAGGUCCAGAGAACAACAAAGGCAACAAACAGAAUCUACCUGCACAUAAUGCACCUGAGAAUGCCCAUGACCUGGAGAGAAUAUCCACACACUGCUGGUGUUGUCGCAGCCACCAGAUAUAGGGUGGACUGUAGUGGUCUUGAGCCAAGGUGGAAAAGGGCAUCUUUUGCCAGGUGGUGUGAGGGUGGAGGCCCCAGGCCUGGAGCAGACAGCCCUGGCUUUUUGGUGUAAAUGUUGAUCUUGUCGUCACUCUGCAGUGUGUGACUGUAUACUCCCCACCUCCCUAACCUACAACCAGUAUUUCCUUCUCUACUUCAUGCUUUUCUGCCUUCACGCUUCUACUAGUCCCGUGUAGGGAAGCAUAUGAGUCAAGGUAAUUAAAUUGUGCUCUGGUGAUCGUUGCCGUAACAUGCAAACUAUGGAGGCUCACUGAGAGAAUGGGGUGCCGCACCCGGCAGACCCAGGCACUCCCUAGGAACAUUGCCCAGACUCUGACUCAGCUCUUGUCCUCUUCGACUCUCAAGACUUUCUGUUCUGUACCAGCCUCUAGCAAAGGAGAGGCUGGAACAGAGGAGAAAAGUUUUGUGAAAGGAGGCCUUUGACCUCAGCUCUGACCUUUCCCCCCAGAUUCUGGUGACCAACUUCAUCAUCCUCAAGUGCAUCCACGAGGCCGUGCUGGUCAGAGACAUUUCCCAACCACCAGAUUCGCUGUGGCAUGUGGGGUGGAGAAGGAAAGGAAGGUCUGGCCUGAUGCCUUUAGGCAAGGUUGGGUCCUGCCUAGAAGAUCCACACUCUUCUCUAAGCUAGAGAACCAGAGGUGAAGGACCAAAAAGUAAGGAACCAAGUGAAGUCCUGUUUGUCCUUGAGAACUCCUAGCACAGGAAAGGCCAGGUGAGGAUUCUGAGCCACAGGGAAUCUGAGUAGAGGCAGGGUCCAGGCCAGCAUCUCUGGGGCUCCAGAUACAAUUCUGGGGAGCUCUAAGCUGUAACUUUUUACUAUCUGUUGCUGAGUCCCAUGCCAUGAAUUUUUAGAACAAAACUUCAGCAGUGGUGAA